AAAUUGAAGAGUUUGAUCAUGGCUCAGAUUGAACGCUGGCGGCAGGCCUAACACAUGCAAGUCGAACGGUAACAGGAAGCAGCUUGCUGCUUCGCUGACGAGUGGCGGACGGGUGAGUAAUGUCUGGGAAACUGCCUGAUGGAGGGGGAUAACUACUGGAAACGGUGGCUAAUACCGCAUAACGUCGCAAGACCAAAGAGGGGGACCUUCGGGCCUCUUGCCAUCAGAUGUGCCCAGAUGGGAUUAGCUUG
rnacentral:rRNA from 9 species